rnacentral:rRNA from 1 species
GAAUCUGCCUUCAGGUCGGGGACAACCACUGGAAACGGUGGCUAAUACCCGAUGUGCGCAACGUGAAAGAUUUAUCGCCUGAAGAGGAGCUCGCGUCUGAUUAGCUAGUUGGUGGGGUAAAAGCUCACCAAGGCGACGAUCAGUAGCUGGUCUGAGAGGAUGAUCAGCCACACUGGGACUGAGACACGGCCCAGACUCCUACGGGAGGCAGCAGUGGGGAAUUUUCCGCAAUGGGCGAAAGCCUGACGGAGCAAGACCGCGUGAGGGAGGAAGGCUCUUGGGUUGUAAACCUCUUUUCUCAGGGAAGAACACAAUGACGGUACCUGAGGAAUCAGCCUCGGCUAACUCCGUGCCAGCAGCCGCGGUAAUACGGAGGAGGCAAGCGUUAUCCGGAAUUAUUGGGCGUAAAGCGUCCGCAGGUGGCACUUCAAGUCUGUCGUCAAAGACUGGGGCUUAACCCUGGAAAGGCGGUGGAAACUGAAGCGCUAGAGUGUGGUAGGGGUAGAGGGAAUUCCCGGUGUAGCGGUGAAAUGCGUAGAGAUCGGGAAGAACAUCGGUGGCGAAAGCGCUCUACUGGACCACAACUGACACUCAGGGACGAAAGCUAGGGGAGCGAAUGGGAUUAGAUACCCCAGUAGUCCUAGCCGUA